rnacentral:rRNA from 1 species
GAUGAACGCUAGCGGCAGGCCUAAUACAUGCAAGUCGAACGGUGUAGCAAUACACAGUGGCGCACGGGUGCGUAACACGUAUGCAACCUACCUUACAUUGGGGGAUAGCCUUUCGAAAGGGAGAUUAAUACCGCAUAAGACAGUAACUAGGCAUCUAGUAGCUGUUAAAGAUUUAUCGAUGUAAGCUGGGCAUGCGUCCAAUUAGCUAGUUGGUGAGGUAACGGCUCACCAAGGCAAUGAUUGGUAGGGGAACUGAGAGGUCAAUCCCCCACACUGGCACUGAGAUACGGGCCAGACUCCUACGGGAGGCAGCAGUAGGGAAUAUUGGGCAAUGGACGCAAGUCUGACCCAGCCAUGCCGCGUGCAGGAUGAAGGCGUUAUGCGUUGUAAACUGCUUUUAUACAGGAAGAAACGACUCUUGCGAGAGGCAUUGACGGUACUGUAUGAAUAAGCACCGGCUAACUCCGUGCCAGCAGCCGCCGUAAUAC